GAGGCCGAAGCUGUUGCGUCGUCGCCAGCGCAAACGGAUCCAAUCGUAGACUACAUUUCAAGCACGUGGCAGGCCAUUUCCACCAGUAAACAUGUAAUGUUUUACCGCGAGCCCGAACAGGAGAUCUAGGGAGUAAAUCAAAAGGAAUCUAGGAGCAGCAGUAACCCGCAGUCGCCAUAUCCGGCGGCAGUAAGCGGGGGGAGAUCACAACCA